rnacentral:misc_RNA from 1 species
AAAAAAAAUCUGUUACGUUGUUACGCCGCUCACCAAUCUAUUACGUUUUUACGAUACAGCCAAUCCAACUAUUUAAAAAUUCAACUAUAAUAAAAAAAAGUUGAUAAACUGGCUUUUAAAAUGUUCAUUCCACAUUUUGUGUAUAAUAAAUUAAUUAUUGCACGUGUAUUGCACGUUGACCGAAUUGGAGCCACUGCCGUCUGCUGUGAGUAUUAUAACCUUAUAUCUCUGGUAUAACCUAACAUUUUACAAGAAAGAACCAUAGACAAAGAAAUAAAAUUAUUUGUUUCUUUGUCUAUGGAAGGAACUGUGAAGGAAAGCGGGGAACCGGGGGAACACUAAAACGGGGAAUCACUAACCAGUAACCACUAACCACCAAAGUAAGUUUUGUUGUGAACUUAAGUAUUUUAGAAAGUUUUAUUAUGAUGAAGAAGUGGUUAUCUACAUCUGGUGUUUCCAAAAUAGAUGCUGCAAAAUCUGCAGAUCCUCCCAUUAUUACUGCUUCUGUUCGUCCUACAUCAGAACAUAGUAGCUGUUCAGACUCUCAUAUAGCAGGCUCUAGAAGCCAGCCAGAUUCCCCUAUACAAAACUCCAGCAGUCAGCCAGAUUCUCCUGUACCAGGCCCUAGUAGGAGGCGGCAUUCCAGUAUUACAGACUCGGAUUCUAGUAGUGAUGAAUCCACUGGCACAAAAGCUGUUUUAAAAAGGCGAAAAGUAACUACAACCAGUUAUAAACAAAAAUUUCGGGAUAAAUGGUGUGAAGAUAAAAGAUAUGCAAAUUGGUGCAAAUCAUCAUCGGAUGGAAGUUCAGCAUUCUGUACUGUUUGUGACAAAAAAAUAAUUGGAGGAAUUACUCAUAUAAAAAGGCACAGUAUAACGUUACUACAUAAAAAAAAUAAAGAAAGCAGAAAAAACACCAAAAAUUCAAGAGCUGCUGUCGAUCAAUCCUAACAAAGAAUUACAUUCCAUUAAAGUGAAAGCAGCAGAGUUAAGAUGUGUUAUGUUUCUUCACGAACAUAAUUUACCCUUUUUAUUGAUGGACCACCUCCCAAAAUUUAUAGGAUCAGUGUGUCCAGACUCAAAUAUUGCAGCAGACCUUAAAAUAUCUAGGACGAAAGCCACCCUAAUUACUAAACAUUGUUUUACAUCCUCCGCUUUAGAGAAUAUUGCUUAAAAAGUUGACAAAUCAGUUGCUUAUAGUUUGAUAAUGGAUGAAACCACUGAUGUGGCAACACAAAAGUCAUUAGUUGUAGUGAUAAGAUUUUAUGAUGAAAAGGUGACAGACCACUUUUUUGGUCUUUUAGAAAUACAUCAAGAAAUUGUGAAUCAGUUAAAUCUUGAAUUCCAAAGUGAGAAAUGUAAGAUAUAUUUAUUAAGGUGACAGAGUUAGUGCCUUAUACAAGACGAUAUUAAGGAAUUAUUUAAAAAAAACAUUACCUUGACCAAACUAGUUUAGAAAGAAUAGACGUAAAAAAUCCCAGAAAUUUUUUACCAAUUGAAGAAGUUUAUUUUGGCGCUAGGGUCCAGGUAAUGUUAUCCUCAGAGGAAAAUAAUAAUUCUGUCAACAAUUUUAGACUAAGAUGUCUUGAUUUUUAUAUUGAGCUAUGCUCCCAAAUUCAGAAAAGAUUUUCAUUCAAUGAUCCAAUUUUGAAUUUCUGUAAAAUAUUUAAUCCUUUGACUGUAGUAAGUGG